rnacentral:tRNA from 1 species
GGGUCGGUGGUCGAGUGGUUAAUGGCACCGGACUGUAAAUUCGGCUCGCGAAAGCGAUACGCUGGUUCAAAUCCAGCCCGGCCCACCA